rnacentral:misc_RNA from 1 species
UCAAAACAAAGAUGGUUCCCAAGUGAAAAAGUUGUUUCUCCCUUCAAAGUCUUGAAAAAUUCGGAAAUUUUGCAUGAAAAGUGCUGCAAUAAUGGUGGAAAAUAACCGGAAUCGAUGCCCGUCGGUGAACCUCAUCGCUUCCGGUUUGAUUUUGUUGGUUUGCUGCGUUUUACAAACUACAAAUGCGGGUCAGCUGCACAAGAAUCUGAAGCACUACGAAACGUUGCACGCGGACCAGCUGACCCAUCGGAUCACGAAGCGCGGGGCGAAACCGAGCAGUCAUCCGUUCAACACGAUCAAGGAGGUGGAGUUCAAGGUGUUGGGACGGAACUUUCGAUUGAUAUUGCAUCCCCACAAGGACGUUCUGCACAGCAACUUCCGGGCGUACUCGGUGGACGGAAGCGGGGCGGAAUCGAUCGUGCACCUGGACCAUGAUAACUUCCUGAGGGGUCGCGUCUUUGGGGAGGUUCACUCGCAGGUUAAUGCUCACUUGGAGGAUGGGAUUCUGACGGCUUCGGUGUUCCUUCCGGACGAGACGUACCACAUUGAACCAUCGUGGCGGCAUUUGGACCACCUGAGUGAUCGGCACAUGAUUGCGUACAAGGCGUCCGAUAUCAAGUUUAGCUGGGACCAGGUUGAUGCCGUCGGUGGUGAGAUGGGUGGAGUGCCGAAGACUUGCGGUUACGUGAAGGAGGGCUUGGAACUGGAAGCGAAUGACGACGACGAUGAUGACGAUGGCGAUGAGGAGGAGGAUGGGGUGCGUCCAGAUCCGGAUGAUAUUCCGUCGGUUUGGACCGCGGCCACGGUGUCGGCGGCCGAGCUGAAGUCCCGCAAGAAACGACAGGCCGACCAGUACGAGUACACUCCGACGAAGACGCGCUGUCCGCUGCUGCUCGUUGCGGAUUACAGAUUCUUCCAGGAAAUGGGCGGAAGCAACACCAAAACAACCAUCAACUAUUUGAUCAGUCUCAUCGAUCGGGUGCACAAAAUCUACAACGACACGAUCUGGCAGGACCGCACCGAUCAGGAGGGCUUCAAGGGUAUGGGCUUCGUCAUAAAGAAGAUCGUGGUGCACUCGGAACCGACGCGGGUUCGCGGCGGUGAGGCGCACUACAACAUGGUGCGCGAAAAGUGGGACGUGCGGAACCUGCUGGAGGUGAGUUUCGGGGGGGAAUGGAACGAUCUUUAGCAUGAAAACACGGACACGUAUCGGAACAUGGAAUGUACUAAAGUUUGCUGCUGGACGUUGAAGCUUCACCAUGUCGCAGCUGUCGACAUGGUGCUUGGUCGAA